UCUGGUGACCAAGCGGCUGGAUCCCACCCGUUCCCAUCCCGAACACGGUCGUAAAGACAGCUUGCGGCGAAACUACUUGGCGGAUGACCGCCUGGGAAGAUAGCUAGUUGCCAGAUU
rnacentral:rRNA from 1 species